AUUGAACGCUGGCGGCAUGCCUUACACGUGCAAGUCGAACGGUAACGCGGGGCAACCUGGCGACGAGUGGCGAACGGGUGAGUAAUGUAUCGGAACGUGCCCAGUUGUGGGGGAUAACUGCUCGAAAGAGCAGCUAAUACCGCAUACGACCUGAGGGUGAAAGCGGGGGAUCGCAAGACCUCGCGCAGUUGGAGCGGCCGAUAUCAGAUUAGGUAGUUGGUGGGGUAAAGGCUCACCAAGCCAACGAUCUGUAGCUGGUCUGAGAGGACGACCAGCCACACUGGGACUGAGACACGGCCCAGACUCCUACGGGAGGCAGCAGUGGGGAAUUUUGGACAAUGGGGGCAACCCUGAUCCAGCCAUGCCGCGUGCGGGAAGAAGGCCUUCGGGUUGUAAACUGCUUUUGUACGGAACGAAAAGCCCCGGGUUAAUACCCUGGGGUCAUGACGGUACCGUAAGAAUAAGCACCGGCUAACUACGUGCCAGCAGCCGCAGUAA
rnacentral:rRNA from 1 species